CAGCAUAUCAAUAAGCGGAGGAAAAGAAACCAACAGGGAUUGCCUCAGUAACGGCGAGUGAAGCGGCAACAGCUCAAAUUUGAAAUCUGGCCCCAGGCCCGAGUUGUAAUUUGCAGAGGAUGCUUUUGGCGCGGUGCCUUCCGAGUUCCCUGGAACGGGACGCCAUAGAGGGUGAGAGCCCCGUACGGUUGGACACCAAGCCUUUGUAAAGCUCCUUCGACGAGUCGAGUAGUUUGGGAAUGCUGCUCUAAAUGGGAGGUAUAUUUCUUCUAAAGCUAAAUAUAGGCCAGAGACCGAUAGCGCACAAGUAGAGUGAUCGAAAGAUGAAAAGCACUUUGAAAAGAGGGUUAAACAGCACGUGAAAUUGUUAAAAGGGAAGCGCUUGUGACCAGACUUGCGUCCGGUGAAUCACCCAGCUCUCGCGGCUGGGGCACUUUGCCGGCACAGGCCAGCAUCAGCUCGCUGUCGGGGACAAAAGCUUCGGGAACGUAGCUCUCUUCGGGGAGUGUUAUAGCCCGUUGCAUAAUACCCUUCGGUGGGCUGAGGUACGCGCUCCGCAAGGAUGCUGGCGUAAUGGUCAUCAGCGACCCGUCUUGAAACACGGACCAAGGAGUCAACCUUAUGUGCGAGUGUUUGGGUGUUAAACCCCUACGCGUAAUGAAAGUGAACGCAGGUGAGAGCUUCGGCGCAUCAUCGACCGAUCCUGAUGUUCUCGGAUGGAUUUGAGUAAGAGCAUAUAGGGUUGGACCCGAAAGAAGGUGAACUAUGCGUGUAUAGGGUGAAGCCAGAGGAAACUCUGGUGGAGGCUCGCAGCGGUUCUGACGUGCAAAUCGAUCGUCAAAUAUGCGCAUGGGGGCGAAAGACUAAUCGAACCUUCUAGUAGCUGGUUUCCGC
rnacentral:rRNA from 1 species